rnacentral:misc_RNA from 1 species
GUAUACGGCCAUACUAGGUUGGAAACAC